rnacentral:lncRNA from 1 species
UGGGUCUUUCUUCACGGACAGUGGAAGCUGUGGUGGCCUUCAGGACGAUUUCUCUGUCGCGGGUGCUGAGCACAGGGCCUGCACGUGGUGGGUUUGCUGGCCGUGGAAAAUCCCUUCACCUCUCGGUUUGCUCAAGAGGGCACCAGACAGUAUCUUCCUCAUAGAGGUGCGUGAGUUAAUGAAAGGAAAGGUGCCUGCAACUAGCACCUGGAACAUGCAGGUGGAAGACGAGGAUUCAGACCCAGGAGCGAGGCACGAACGUCCACUCGGGGAACCAUUUUGCCAGACUGGUCUUGGAGCCAGAGCACCAGCCUCAAAC